GGCUCGUUGGUCUAGGGGUAUGAUUCUCGCUUUGCGAGAGGUCCCGGGUUCAAAUCCCGGACGAGCCC
rnacentral:tRNA from 1 species